GAUGAAGAACGUAGCGAAAUGCGAUAAGUAAUGCGAAUUGCAGAAUUUCCGUGAGUCAUCGAAUCUUUGAACGCACAUUGCGCCCACUGGUAUUCCGGUGGGCAUGCCUGUUCGAGCGUCAUUAUCCUCCCUCAAACCCCGGGUUUGGUGUUGGACCCAAGUUGUGUGAACAACUGGUCUUAAAGACAAUGACGGCGUCCGUGGGACCCUCGGUGCAACGAGCUUUUAGGAGCACGCAUCGAGUUGCAAGGACCUUCCGGGCCGGUCUCCUUUACUAUUUUACAAGGUUGACCUCGGAUCAGGUAGGAAUACCCGCUGAACUUAAGCAUAUCAAUAAGCGGGAGGA
rnacentral:misc_RNA from 1 species